rnacentral:rRNA from 1 species
GACGAACGCUGGCGGCGUGCUUAAUACAUGCAAGUCGAACGGACAGGCCCUGCUCUUGUUGCUUGCUCGAUUGCCGAACGCGUGAGUAACACGCGUGUAUCCUGUCCUUGUCUUUGGGGUAACUCUUGGAAACUGGGGAUAAUAUCGGAUAGGAUCUCCUGCUGCACGGUGUGGGUUGGAAAGUUUCGGCGGUUGGGGCUGGACUCGCGGCUUAUCAGCUUGUUGGUGGGGUAGUGGCUUACCAAGGCUUUGACGGGUAGCCGGCCUGAGAGGGUGACCGGCCACAUUGGGACUGAGAUACGGCCCAGACUCCUACGGGAGGCAGCAGUGGGGAAUAUUGCACAAUGGGCGGAAGCCUGAUGCAGCAACGCCGCGUGCGGGAUGACGGCCUUCGGGUUGUAAACCGCUUUCGCCUGUGACGAAGCGUGAGUGACGGUAAUGGGUAAAGAAGCACCGGCUAACUACGUG